UACGAAGGGGACUAGCGUUGUUCGGAAUCACUGGGCGUAAAGCGCACGUAGGCGGAUGUGUCAGUCAGGGGUGAAAUCCCGGGGCUCAACCUCGGAACUGCCUUUGAUACAGCAAGUCUUGAGUUCGAGAGAGGUGGGUGGAAUUCCUAGCGUAGAGGUGAAAUUCGUAGAUAUUAGGAAGAACACCGGUGGCGAAGGCGGCCCACUGGCUCGACACUGACGCUGAGGUGCGAAAGCGUGGGGAGCAAACAGG
rnacentral:rRNA from 1 species